ACACAUGCAGUCGAGCGGCAGCGGAAGUAGCUUGCUACUUUGCCGGCGAGCGGCGGACGGGUGAGUAAUGUCUGGGAAACUGCCUGAUGGAGGGGGAUAACUACUGGAAACGGUAGCUAAUACCGCAUAAUGUCGCAAGACCAAAGAGGGGGACCUUCGGGCCUCUUGCCAUCAGAUGUGCCCAGAUGGGAUUAGCUAGUAGGUGGGGUAACGGCUCACCUAGGCGACGAUCCCUAGCUGGUCUGAGAGGAUGACCAGCCACACUGGAACUGAGACACGGUCCAGACUCCUACGGGAGGCAGCAGUGGGGAAUAUUGCACAAUGGGCGCAAGCCUGAUGCAGCCAUGCCGCGUGUAUGAAGAAGGCCUUCGGGUUGUAAAGUACUUUCAGCGGGGAGGAAGGCGAUAAGGUUAAUAACCUUGUCGAUUGACGUUACCCGCAGAAGAAGCACCGGCUAACUCCGUGCCAGCAGCCGCGGUAAUACGGAGGGUGCAAGCGUUAAUCGGAAUUACUGGGCGUAAAGCGCACGCAGGCGGUCUGUCAAGUCGGAUGUGAAAUCCCCGGGCCCAACCUGGGAACUGCAUUCGAAACUGGCAGGCUAGAGUCUUGUAGAGGGGGGUAGAGUUCCAGGUGUAGCGGUGAAAUGCGUAGAGAUCUGGAGGAAUACCGGUGGCGAA
rnacentral:rRNA from 1 species